rnacentral:sRNA from 1 species
GAUUUUGGGGGUCAACAUCCAUCAGCGCGUUGCGCCCAUGGAUGCUCUUUUU